CGCGGGGUAGAGCAGUUGGUAGCUCGUCGGGCUCAUAACCCGGAGGUCGUUGGUUCAAAUCCUUCCCCCGCAACCA
rnacentral:tRNA from 3 species